rnacentral:rRNA from 1 species
AUUUUNNNNCCUAUCGCCNAUCCCCUUGAGUUGAUCUGGCUCGAGUGAACGCUGGCGGCAGGCCUAACACAUGCAAGUCGAGCGGCAGCGCGGUGUAGCAAUACACUGGCGGCGAGCGGCGGACGGGUGAGGAAUGCGUCGGAAUCUGCCUUUUUGUGGGGGAUAACGUAGGGAAACUUACGCUAAUACCGCAUACGACCUACGGGUGAAAGUGGGGGACCGCAAGGCCUCACGCAGAAAGAUGAGCCGACGCCGGAUUAGCUAGUUGGCGGGGUAAAGGCCCACCAAGGCGACGAUCCGUAGCUGGUCUGAGAGGAUGAUCAGCCACACUGGAACUGAGACACGGUCCAGACUCCUACGGGAGGCAGCAGUGGGGAAUAUUGGACAAUGGGCGCAAGCCUGAUCCAGCCAUGCCGCGUGUGUGAAGAAGGCCUUCGGGUUGUAAAGCACUUUUGUCCGGAAAGAAAAGCAUUCGGUUAAUAACCGGGUGUCCUGACGGUACCGGAAGAAUAAGCACCGGCUAACUUCGUGCCAGCAGCCGCGGUAAUACGAAGGGUGCAAGCGUUACUCGGAAUUACUGGGCGUAAAGCGUGCGUAGGUGGUUCGUUAAGUCUGAUGUGAAAGCCCUGGGCUCAACCUGGGAAUGGCAUUGGAUACUGGCGACCUANAGUGCGGUAGAGGGGUGUGGAAUUCCCGGUGUAGCAGUGAAAUGCGUAGAUAUCGGGAGGAACAUCUGUGGNCGAAGCGACACCUUGGACCAGCACUGACACUGAGGCACGAAA